rnacentral:rRNA from 1 species
AUUGAACGCUGGCGGCAUGCCUUACACAUGCAAGUCGAACGGUAACGCGGGGCAACCUGGCGACGAGUGGCGAACGGGUGAGUAAUGCAUCGGAACGUGCCCGGUAGUGGGGGAUAACUGCUCGAAAGAGCAGCUAAUACCGCAUACGACCUGAGGGUGAAAGGGGGGGAUCGCAAGACCUCUCGCUAUCGGAGCGGCCGAUGUCGGAUUAGCUAGUUGGGGGGGUAAAGGCCCACCAAGGCAACGAUCCGUAGCUGGUCUGAGAGGACGACCAGCCACACUGGGACUGAGACACGGCCCAGACUCCUACGGGAGGCAGCAGUGGGGAAUUUUGGACAAUGGACGCAAGUCUGAUCCAGCCAUGCCGCGUGCGGGAAGAAGGCCUUCGGGUUGUAAACCGCUUUUGUCAGGGAAGAAACCUUCUGGGUUAAUACCUCGGGAGGAUGACGGUACCUGAAGAAUAAGCACCGGCUAACUACGUGCCAGCCGCCGCGGUAAGAC